rnacentral:lncRNA from 1 species
AGGGGGAGCGUGGUAUUAAUAAAGACCUUCAUACACUGUACUCUUUUUCCUUCAUCUAGGUUUUUAUCCCACUGGAUUUUUCCUGGUAAGGUUUUAACGAGGCAGUGUCGCUCAAGAUUGACUCACAGAAGCAGUGUCAACUAUGAUAUUCAGAAAGAUAAUCAACAGAAUGGCUUAAAAAUAUUUUGCCAAGCAUCAGGGGGAGCGUGCUGUCAAGAAAGACCUUACACAUUGUACUCUUUUUC